rnacentral:rRNA from 1 species
UGCUGGAGGUAUCAGAAGUGCGAAUGCUGACAUAAGUAACGAUAAAGCGGGUGAAAAGCCCGCUCGCCGGAAGACCAAGGGUUCCUGUCCAACGUUAAUCGGGGCAGGGUGAGUCGACCCCUAAGGCGAGGCCGAAAGGCGUAGUCGAUGGGAAACGGGUUAAUAUUCCCGUACUUGGUGUUACUGCGAAGGGGGGACGGAGAAGGCUAUGUUGGCCGGGCGACGGUUGUCCCGGUUUAAGCGUGUAGGUGUGUGUUCCAGGUAAAUCCGGUUCACUUUAACACUGAGGCGUGACGACGAGGCACUACGGUGCUGAAGCAACAAAUGCCCUGCUUCCAGGAAAAGCCUCUAAGCAUCAGGUAACACGAAAUCGUACCCCAAACCGACACAGGUGGUCAGGUAGAGAAUACCAAGGCGCUUGAGAGAACUCGGGUGAAGGAACUAGGCAAAAUGGUGCCGUAACUUCGGGAGAAGGCACGCUGACACGUAGGUGAAGUGAUUUACUCAUGGAGCUGAAGUCAGUCGAAGAUACCAGCUGGCUGCAACUGUUUAUUAAAAACACAGCACUGUGCAAACACGAAAGUGGACGUAUACGGUGUGACGCCUGCCCGGUGCCGGAAGGUUAAUUGAUGGGGUCAGCGCAAGCGAAGCUCCUGAUCGAAGCCCCGGUAAACGGCGGCCGUAACUAUAACGGUCCUAAGGUAGCGAAAUUCCUUGUCGGGUAAGUUCCGACCUGCACGAAUGGCGUAAUGAUGGCCAGGCUGUCUCCACCCGAGACUCAGUGAAAUUGAACUCGCUGUGAAGAUGCAGUGUACCCGCGGCAAGACGGAAAGACCCCGUGAACCUUUACUAUAGCUUGACACUGAACAUUGAGCCUUGAUGUGUAGGAUAGGUGGGAGGCUUUGAAGUGUGGACGCCAGUCUGCAUGGAGCCGACCUUGAAAUACCACCCUUUAAUGUUUGAUGUUCUAACGUGGACCCGUAAUCCGGGUUGCGGACAGUGUCUGGUGGGUAGUUUGACUGGGGCGGUCUCCUCCUAAAGAGUAACGGAGGAGCACGAAGGUUGGCUAAUCCUGGUCGGACAUCAGGAGGUUAGUGCAAUGGCAUAAGCCAGCUUGACUGCGAGCGUGACGGCGCGAGCAGGUGCGAAAGCAGGUCAUAGUGAUCCGGUGGUUCUGAAUGGAAGGGCCAUCGCUCAACGGAUAAAAGGUACUCCGGGGAUAACAGGCUGAUACCGCCCAAGAGUUCAUAUCGACGGCGGUGUUUGGCACCUCGAUGUCGGCUCAUCACAUCCUGGGGCUGAAGUAGGUCCCAAGGGUAUGGCUGUUCGCCAUUUAAAGUGGUACGCGAGCUGGGUUUAGAACGUCGUGAGACAGUUCGGUCCCUAUCUGCCGUGGGCGCUGGAGAACUGAGGGGGGCUGCUCCUAGUACGAGAGGACCGGAGUGGACGCAUCACUGGUGUUCGGGUUGUCAUGCCAAUGGCACUGCCCGGUAGCUAAAUGCGGAAGAGAUAAGUGCUGAAAGCAUCUAAGCACGAAACUUGCCCCGAGAUGAGUUCUCCCUGAGACUUAGAGUCUCCUGAAGGAACGUUGAAGACGACGACGUUGAUAGGCCGGGUGUGUAAGCGCAGCGAUGCGUUGAGCUAACCGGUACUAAUGAAC